UACGGAGGGUGCAAGCGUUAAUCGGAAUUACUGGGCGUAAAGCGUGCGCAGGCGGUUCGUUAUGUCCGAUGUGAAAGCCCCGAGCUCAACUUGGGAAUGGCAUUGGAAACUGGCGGGCUGGAGUGUGGCAGAGGGGGGUGGAAUUCCACGUGUAGCAGUGAAAUGCGUAGAGAUGUGGAGGAACACCGAUGGCGAAGGCAGCCCCCUGGGCCAACACUGACGCUCAGGCACGAAAGCGUGGGGAGCAAACAGG
rnacentral:rRNA from 1 species